AUUGAACGCCGGCGGCAUGCCUUACACAUGCAAGUCGAACGGCAGCACGGGAGCAAUCCUGGUGGCGAGUGGCGAACGGGUGAGUAAAGUAUCGGAACGUGCCCAGUCGUGGGGGAUAACAUAGCGAAAGUUACGCUAAUACCGCAUACGAUCUAUGGAUGAAAGCGGGGGAUCGCAAGACCUCGCGCGAUUGGAGCGGCCGAUAUCAGAUUAGGUAGUUGGUGGGGUAAAGGCUCACCAAGCCGACGAUCUGUAGCUGGUCUGAGAGGACGACCAGCCACACUGGGACUGAGACACGGCCCAGACUCCUACGGGAGGCAGCAGUGGGGAAUUUUGGACAAUGGGCGCAAGCCUGAUCCAGCCAUGCCGCGUGCAGGAUGAAGGCCUUCGGGUUGUAAACUGCUUUUGUACGGAACGAAAAGGUUUGACUUGAUACGUUGGACUCAUGACGGUACCGUAAGAAUAAGCGCCGGCUAACUACGUGCCAGCAGCCGCCGUAA
rnacentral:rRNA from 1 species